GCAAUCUCAGGGAUUUGUCACUUCUCAUAAUCUUGCUGCUGUUACCUCCACGGGCCUGGCUAGCACGCUUAUGUGGUGGUGGUGUUUUCCCACUUCUUAUCAAAGUAUCUUCUCUGAAAUCUGAUCACAAUUACCAGCGUCCCUUUCACUUGCAAUUGUUGUGCACCAAGGUAUAUAGGACGCUAUGUUUAAGUUGUAUGGAAUGCAAUACUUGAUGCAAAGCGAAGGGGAAAGAAUAAACUGUCUCUUUGUGCAG
rnacentral:lncRNA from 1 species